GAUGAAGAACGUAGCGAAAUGCGAUAAGUAAUGUGAAUUGCAGAAUUCGGUGAAUCAUCGAAUCUUUGAACGCACAUUGCGCCCGCCAGCAUUCUGGCGGGCAUGCCUGUUCGAGCGUCAUUUCAACCCUCGAGCCCCCCCGGGGGCCUCGGUGUUGGGGGACGGCACACCAGCCGCCCCCGAAAUGCAGUGGCGACCCCGCCGCAGCCUCCCCUGCGUAGUAGCACACACCUCGCACCGGAGCGCGGAGGCGGUCACGCCGUAAAACGCCCAACUUUCUUAGAGUUGACCUCGGAUCAGGUAGGAAUACCCGCUGAACUUAAGCAUAUCAAUAAGCGGAGGA
rnacentral:misc_RNA from 1 species